rnacentral:misc_RNA from 1 species
UUAACCCGACGCGAAUGAUGCGCGGGAUAAGACAGAUUGCGGCAUUUGUUUGGAAUGGAAAAGGUCGAGUAAGGUAAAAUGUUAGUGUUAUGCUUCCUUGGCCUGUAGACGAAAAAACAUGAAGAACUAAAAAGCACACAUAACCUAGGCCUACGUUAUGUUUGAAACCGCGGAGACCAGUCAGAGAGAUUUAUUUUGAUCGAUUACAUUGAGACAGUCGCGUUCUUCAUGUUCUCUUGUGUGACCAACAACCAAUGGCAGCUAAAUACAUGUACAAAUAAUUACAUCAUAUGUAGCCUACAUGGACAAGCUUACAAAUCUGUUGUCGGAAAAUGUUGAUGACAGUUCUUGGGACGAAGAACUUAUUUGCCGUCUGCAGGCCUACAUCAGGGCUUUUCUGACCCGCAAGCAAUUUCAGGAAGUGAGGAGCCUGUAUAAGGAAAUAGUCCGUGAAGUAGAAGGGGACAUCCUCUUGGGUAACCAGACAAAUGUCUCGUGGAGAACACAUCUCCCUUGCAGGCCGCGUUGUUCCCCAAAACUUAGAAAGUGUUUUGCUGUUGUGAAAGACGGAACAAAGACUACACAGACCUGCCUCACUCCAUCUGGCCAACGACCUGUUGAAGGUGCUGAUCAGGAUGUCAAGAGUCAAGGAACUGACCUUGAUUCUAGAAGCCAUCAGGAAGAGAUCCCUUUUGAAGCAGAUGGUAAGGAGUUAUCAGGACUUGGCGGAGAAUGCCAAGAUCCUGUUCAUCAAGUACAUGCAGAGACCCUCCCUUCAUGUGAAGGUGAAGGUUUACCUGAACUUGACAAAGUUCUUGUUAAUCAAGGCCAAAGUUUGACCCCCUCUGAAGAAGGGAAUGAAUCAGUCGACUUUCAUGAUUCUACCAGACGACUUGAAUCUGUAUCUGAGAGAAGUAGCAAGCACUCCAAGCAGGGUUCCCCAUCAACCAGUGUGGACUACACUCUCGAUUUCGAAUCUUGCUCCAGUUCAGCAACGUCAGAAGCUGCAAGAUUAAUUUCCACUAGUACUCAGCUGAAGUUGCAACAGGACUCCGGGAAUGCUGCUUCUCUGGAACUUUGUGUCGUCGCACUUGCAGGUGACAAAACUGCAGUGACAGAGGGAAAUUUGCCCAACGGGAAUCAGGUCUCUGAAGUUACAUCAGACAAGAUGGAUGAAAAGCAGAUGGAAAAGAGAGAAAAUGAUUGGAAUUCUGCCGAAGAUUUCACCCCAGUCCAAAGCAGUGGGACCAACACCAUAUCACAACCAAAUCUGCAAAGGCUGGAUAGAAAAUCCCCUGACGAUUGCAUACAUGUAGAUGGAAUGGUGUCAUCGACCAGAGAUGAGGUCAGAACAUUUUCACCAGAGGGAGACGAAGAAGCAAUGUCUGUCUCACAAGAAGAGGCCAGUAAGUCUGGUGGAAGCUCAGAUGCUAAAGAUAGCCUCAAAGUUGCACCCUCAAAGAUGCAGGAUCUGACCGAGGAGAGUAGGGGAGACUUAAAUGUACAUGUAGCUUCCAACACGUUAACAGAUUGCCAAGAUCAAGUAAAUAGAAACUCAAAUCAAGAUCAAGCAAACGGAAAGUCAAAAAUGGAAUCUGUCCCAACUCCACCUCAUCCUCCAAACGUUUCUGAUGAAGGGAAGGCGGCAGCAGAAUCCACAAUGCAUGGGAGCAGAGAUGAAGAAGAGGAGGGAGGUGGUUUGGGGCCAGCCACCAGGGAGAUGCAGGAGGCUAGGGAAACCACUCGGCUGGCCUCAGAGAAGAGAAGCUAUGAGCAAGACUUCUCCAUCGCAGCGGAUAUGACAUCCAUCUGGAGCAAUGAAAAUUCAUUCACGGUGUUCAAGAGUAUGAAGGCGUGGCAAUACCGAUAGUGUGUGAUGCAGGCAAACAGGAAAAAGUCUGAAGAGACAUGUGUUCUCCUUGGAGUUCGGAGGAGUUCUCCCUGAAAAAUGUGCAUUCUCGAGAUAAGAAGACUACUGCCUGGCCAAUGCAUAAUAGUGGAUCAGCAUCACUAAGAUACAGAGAUGCCUGACUCUGAUUAUCCGAUUGAUCUCAGGGAACUGCAGAGGCUGCGCAACAGUGUUGCCCUGGAGCUGCUCUGGGUACA